CCAACUACACUAACCAAACAGCCCCCUAACCAAAUGCUCCUCUCCUCUCUCUUCAACCUAACCAUCACCGCCACCCCUUCCACCCCGUCACGUCCGUCACCUCACCACCACCACACCCAUAUCCCACAAAAUCCGCUACCUACACCCCUCUUCUCCUUUCUCACACUCCAUCUCUGAAGCUUGCAGGCUCCAUGUGCCAUUUCAGCGGAUUUCAUGGUAAGUCCCAUCCCUAUUUUCAUCAUCUCAUCUGUUGAAAAUAUCUCCCAAAUUUCCCCCCUUUCCCUUAUUUUUGAAUUUCGAAUUCUUGCUUCUUUGUGGAGCUGUUGAAACCCUCAGUUGUUACCUAUAAAUUGAAGCCCUUAGUGAGCUAUUUGGGGACAAGGUUCAAGUGUUGGAAAUCCCUCUUGAAUAACCCAAAAAAAAAAUCUCAUCUAUUUUCAUCAAGCUUUUCAUAUAAAAAAAAUAUUUUUUUUACUCUAAGUUGCUGGUCUCAAAAUUCUCUUUUAACUCUAAUUUUGUUUUGUCGAAUUCUUGGUGGUUCUCGGCUAAACAAGCUCUUCAAGACGAUUCGGAGACCCGACGACGAAAUUAGCCUCAGUUCGCUGUCACGGAGAAGAUUUCUUGAUCAUCAGUGUCCAAACCUGCUUCAGUGCUUGCUGUUUAUGUUAUCUUUGAAACAAUGUGACUCGACAAGCUCUCUUCAAGCAAGAAAUAAAUUCCCAGAUUUCAAAUUUAAAGAGUCAAUCUGCAUUUUUGCUGAAAGUUGCUGCCAUAAACAUGGUAUUUCAAGCAAAAUUUGAAGGUUAAGUAAUUGCUGUGUUUUAGGCCAUUUUCACCUCAUUUUGGGACUGAUUUACUGCCUGCCUUUUGGCCAACUGAUUGCUGUGUUUUUUAGGGUGAAAAUGCCACAUUCUUGAGACAUAUGGGGGGAAGGAUGGCUGCGGCAUUUUUGGUCUAUCCGCUGCUAAGUAGUGGCUGCUUUGAAAUGAAAUAUGUUGCAUUUGAAGUGUUCGGUUGCUGCAUUUUAAAAAUCCAUACUCGCUGUUAUAUCUGGCAGCUGCGAAGAUCAUCAUUUUACGCCUCCUAGACAUUGCUGCUGCACAUUGCUGAAAUUUAUUCUUUGUUAAGCUAAUAAGUGGUUUGCUGCGCCUAGUUGAUUUUAAAUUGUUUUCGGGCAGCUAAGCAGCUGCUACAUCACGACUACACAUGCUUACUGGAAAGUGUUGCCAUGUUCCAAAGGGAGCUAUACUACACUUUAUAGUUGUUGCUAUAUGUUUGACGAAAUGCUGUUUUUUUUUUUAAAUAUGACACGAGAAAGCCUUGUCUUACAUUUGAUUCUUUUAUCUAGCUUUCAUUAAUUAAAGUUAUAUAGACUUCUUUUUCCAUGUUAAGAAUUGCUUCUAAUCCUUUUCUUUCUUUUGUUUUAUUUGCAUAUGUACGUGGGAGUAUACUGGAGUUGUUUGACAACUCCAAAUCUGCCCAAGUCAUAGGAGCAGGCAGCCAGCAGAUUUAUUUGCUCGUGUCUAACAAUCUUUGCUCGCGUCUAGCCAUCCCCGAUCUCUCGCGUGUCUUAAGUGUCGACGCCUUCUUUCCUCUCUUCAAAAAUUUUAUGUCUUUGUAUUGAUGUGUCGUUUACAUAUUUUACUUACAUUUAGUGAGUUUUGUAUUUGCAGUAUUUAUUUCUUGUUUUGGGCGUGAAUUCUCAAGAAUGGUUAAGAGGAAUAGUUUGCUUAA